rnacentral:rRNA from 1 species
UGUUAUUAGAAAUUAUUAAUAAUAAUAUCUGCUCAAUGAUUUUUAAAUAGCCGCAAAUCGUGCUAAGGUAGCAUAAUCAUUUGUCUUUUAAUUAAAGACUAGAACAAAAGAUUUAACAUUUAAAUAAAUUUCUUUAUUUUAUAAAUUUAAAUUAUUUUAUAUGUAAAAAAACAUUUAUUUCUAAAAAAGACGAUAAGACCCUAUCGAACUUUACUUUAGUUAAACUGGGGAAGUUAAUUAAUUAUUAUUUUAUUUAUUAUUAAUAAAUAAACGACCUAAUAUAAUUAAUUUCAUGACUAAGUUACCGUAGGGAUAACAGUGUAAUAUUAUUUUAAAGAUCAUAUUAAAAAUAAUGAUUGCAACCUCGAUGUUGACUUAAUAACCUUUAUUACGCAAUAGUUUUAAAAGGAAGUCUGUUCGACUUAUAAACAAUUACAUGA